AACCGGGAUUGCCUCAGUAGCGGCGAGUGAAGCGGCAAGAGCUCAAAUUUGAAAUCUAGCGCCUUCGGUGCUCGAGUUGUAAUUUGUAGAGUGGAUCCUUGGGGCCGCUCCUUGCCUAUGUUCCUUGGAACAGGACGUCAUGGAGGGUGAAAACCCCGUGUGGCGAGGGGUGCGGCUCCGUGUAAGGGCUGCUCGAAGAGUCGAGUUGUUUGGGAAUGCAGCUCUAAGUGGGUGGUAAAUUCCAUCUAAAGCUAAAUACUGGCGAGAGACCGAUAGCGAACAAGUACAGUGAUGGAAAGAUGAAAAGAACUUUGAAAAGAGAGUGAAAAAGUACGUGAAAUUGUUGAAAGGGAAGGGCAUUUGAUCAGACAUGGUGUUUUGCGCCCCCUGCUCCUUGUGGGCGGGGGACUCUCGCAGCUCACUGGGCCAGCAUCAGUUUUUGCGGCCGGACAAAGCCGGAGGAAUGUGGCUUCCCUCGGGAAGUGUUAUAGCCUACGGGAACGCGGCCAGCGGGGACUGAGGAACGCGACUUUUGUCAAGGAUGCUGG
rnacentral:rRNA from 1 species